CUAUGAACUGGUGGUGAUUCCUAUGAUAUAGCUAGAAAAAUCAAAAAGAGUCUAAAAUGGCGAAACUUCCGUGCAAGCAUCUCGUUCUCAUGUUCGUCUUGCUUUGUUUCAUCUCCAUUACGGCUACUGCUCGAAAUUUGCGGGAGAGUGUUGGUGGAGAAGGAACAAGUCACGUGGAAACGCUUGAGGUGAAAGAAGGGCAACCACCUGAACCGAAUGACUUGUUUUCUAUGGAUUAUACUCCGGCACAAAAGAAGCCUCCCAUACAUAACUUAUGAAAUUAUUGGAGAGGAAUGAAUGUUUUCUGGUGCUGAAUCAUUCAUUUCCACAACCUUCAUCCAACCCAUUUGAAUGUAGAUAGAAAGAUGUUUCCAUAUCUUAGAUAUGAUAGUAAGAGAAGAACCAAGAAAAAAGUUUGCAGCAAUGAGAGUAGGAAAGUUACUUAGGGCUUGCACACUAAAAUUUUGCAGAAUUUUUAUAUAGAGAUGGGGGCAUAUACUCGUAAGGCGUUUUCUCUUCCUUGUAGCCAGAAAGUAAUGAAUCAUGUAUGCUUUUCAAUUCUUUUCUA